UCUGUGAUUUUCAGCAGCCCUUAAAGCCUACUAGCUUGGUCCUGGAAGACAAGUUUAGGGCCUUCAAACCUUGAGUGCCCUUUUUUAUCCCAGCCCCAGGUUUAUGGAUUGCUAUUUAGCAAAACAGAAGAGCCUGGAGUACAUUUAGGGUUUUAUGGAAAAGGGAAUGGAACGAGUGUUUUGCAAACAUAAUGGCACAGACUCAGAAAAGAUCAUUUCAGUUAUCAAAUAUAUACUCCCAAGAAAGGGGUGGGAAAUCAGGAUACAAGCCUAAUCUCUAAUUUCAAUUGUACCCUUCUUGUCCAGAAUUAAUAUAGAUUACCCAGAUUAAGUUUUCCUCAUAAACAAAAACACUUCUACUUUUUAAAUUCAAAAACAUCUAAGGAAAAUUUAUUAGAAAUGUGUUGAGGUAUUGGAUGUCCACAAAUGAAAAAGAAAGUCAUUGCGAACAUUACAUUGAAUGCUAUUUCAGGAGUUCUGAAUUUUAAAGCAAACUAUCAAAGAAACGGGAAAAUACCAGCUACUUUUAAAUUUUAGAUGUAUUGUUUUUAUUCAAAAGAGUAAAUGUCUGACAAAUUCUGAAAUCACCAAGUUUGAACCAAACCGUCAACCCUCUGUAACAACUCUGUGAGGUAGAUAGGAAGAAAGAGACUAAUACAGUCCUUUCUUCCCCUGUUGCUUUCAGAUGCUGGGAGCUGAAGCCACUGUGCUAGUGGGCAGCGAAGACAGUUGUUCCCUCAGACCUACCCAAGUUACCUGCUCCUGGGGUAGGGCCAUAUUUUUGUGAAAGUUACAAUAUUGUUAUUUAUAAAAAUCCAAAUUGUUGCUUUGAUUUAUAUAUGAUCUCACUCUGAAUUAUAGAAAUAUUACUAUGUUUAAAACACUGAUUGACUCUACUUGGUUUAAGUAUUUUUCUCAGCAUCUACAUUUAUUACCAGUGAUCAAUACAGAUGACAUAAUAAGCAGUCUACAGUUCUAAGCUAUCCUACUCCAGUGUGUUCCAAAAGACUCCCAAUGACCCCGGUGUCUCUCCAGCUUCACCCCUUGUAUUCUGGAAAUUAGAAUGUAAACCCGAUUAUAAAGUUCAAGUUUUCAUUCACUUUCAGCUGAUAACAAAGACUUAGAAUGGAAAAGCAGAACUGCUCCAAAUGCAUAAAACUUAGUACUAAAAGAAACACUGACUGUUGCCCAAUAUUGUACAAUAUUUUAUUAUAAUAAAAAUAUUUAGAUGCAUCUCAUUGCAAUAUAUUAUCAUAUAGGUAUUCACUGAGAAGGAAAAAUUGGAUAAAGUAUACAUUUAACAAUAUCUUACUAUACAUCCAAUUAAUCUGAGUAAUUUUGGAGGAAAGAAAAAGAUAUAAAAAAAAGCAUCCCUUUUUAUAUAAUUCCAUGUUUUUUUCCAGAGACUUAAUAGACAACACAAUCAAGAUACAGUUGUAAAUUAUUAUAAUUCUAACCCUAAUAUUAGAACCUGCAACAUGUAAAAAUUCCAGUCAUAUAUUGCUAGGUAUUUGCCAAAUGAUAAUCAAAUGUUUGUCAUACAGUGGUUUAAAGUUUGUGAGAUACUAUUCAAAUGCUUUAUACUGCCAAGGGUCAGUCCUUUUGUUUGAUUUAAUGCAUUAGCUCAUAUUUCAGUAAACUCUUUUUUUUCACCUG